rnacentral:rRNA from 1 species
CCCUAUGGGGUGCAGCAGCCGCGAAACCUUUACAAUGUACGCAAGUACGAUAAGGGAAUCCCGAGUGCUCAUGUUAUGCAUGGGCUUUUGUUAAGUGUAAAAAGCUUGGCGAAUAAGUGGUGGGUAAGACUGGUGCCAGCCGCCGCGGUAACCCCAGCACCACAAGUGGCAAUCACGUUUAUUGGGCCUAAAGCGUUCGUAGCCGGUUUAGUAAGUUCUGAGUGAAAUCGUUUUGCUUAACAGAACGGCGUGCUUGGAAUACUGCUAAACUUGAGACCGGAGAAGAGUCAGGAGUAUGUCGGGGGGAGCGGUAAAAUGCUAUAAUCCCUGAUGGACUACCUGUGGCGAAGGCGCCUGACUAGAACGGGUCUGACGGUGAGGGACGAAAGCUAGGGGAGCAAACGGGAUUAGAUACCCCAGUAGUCCUAGCUGUAAACUCUGUGAACUAGAUGUUGCGCAUUCUAUAUGAAUGCGCAGUGUCGGAGCGAAGGUGUUAAGUUCACCGCCUGGGAAGUACGGUCGCAAGGCUGAAACUUAAAGGAAUUGGCGGGGGAGCACCACAAGGGGUGCGGCGUGCGGUUUAAUCUAAUUCAACGCAGAGAAUCUCACCAGAAGCGACGGCAGGAUGAAGGUCAGAUUAAAGGUCUUACCUGACGAGCCGAGAGGUGGUGCAUGGCC